CUGAGGUGGCAGACAGCAGGUCCCUGAUUUCAGUGAUGCUGAGGUGGCAGACAGCAGGGCCCUGAUUUCAGUGAUGCACCUCACCGACAGACAGACAGACAGGCAGACAGACAGACAGGCCUGAACCUACACCAACCCCGUCACAAUCACUGUCUGACACUCCACUCCACCCAAGCGGCCCAGACUCAGCUUUGCUCACAGUCCACAGCCUGUCUGCACAGCCACGCAUUACGGAGCAACUCAUCAGAUGCUGUGUCUCCUUGGACUCAGUCGAACCACGGGAGGAUGACAACUCUGAGGACAGGAAACCUUCCUCACCGCACUGAUUGCCACCAGGCCUACAGUAUUUGGCAGAGGUUGAACAGAUUUGGUUUUCAGUACUACAGGGACACCUUCUGAGUAAAACAGCAGCGUUAAAAAGACUCUUUUCAAAAGCUCUGAGACACAUUUGCAGUGAUGCAUGC